rnacentral:lncRNA from 1 species
UUUAAUGUGUAAAGUGGAGCAGAGCUUCAAGGCAAAAUAAUAUGAAUCCAGUCGGUGGAAUUCCUAAGAUUAUCGAUGGAAAAGAAUGUGGCCAAAUUGCACUGAAACCAGCCCUGAAGUGCAAGUACAAGAUGUGGAAAGUGGAAGUGAAAAGAAGAAAAGAACUUUUAGAACUUAGCAUAUGGUCCAAAGGCUCAUGACUGGAUUCACAGGUUUUGAAUGAUAUGUACUGCUGUUUAUGAUGAAAAUUAACUUAGUGCAGAGGUAAGAAAAAACAGUGAUAGCCUACAGAAAACAAAAGUGUGACCUUUUAUCAGAAAAAAAAAAUUAUAUAGAUUACUACAGUUAAAGUAGUAACUGUAGUAGGUUACUUUGUAACAGAAGGUUAGGUACCUACACAGUAGGUAACCUUGCAACACAAGGUUAAAGUGCCUGGCAGAUUCUGUAUCUAGAAAACUAUUUAAGUUAGGAAAGAGGACUGGGCAAAAUUCCCCUCUCAACUAAUUCUGUGGUAUAACCAGCGAUGACGAAAGAAAACCCAUUAUACAUGGUAUAGAUCAGAACUAUUCAAAUAUCACAAGUCUAAUGUGUGACUGCAACUGCUAACAAUUUUUUGUAGCUGUUUGUUCUUGCUACCCAGACUUGCUCUUUACCAGUGAUGCAACUCCCAUCCAAAUCCUGUGCAGUUAGAUAGAUAUUUCUUGUAUCUGGUGGCUCUGGGUAGUUCUGGUCCUGAGGUCUUUGAACCUGACUGCUCAUGCUAAUUCACUGUGAAAGACUGUCAUAUAUUUUUUCUGUCAUUCAUUGCUGCUGAUUUUAUGAUGGUCCCCUGAGAAUUCAAAGAUGGCAAGAGCUAUCAAAAGCUUAGUUGCAAUCUGGAAUACAUUAGUGUUAGGAAAGUUUCUGCUUUUUUCUAAAUCAGAAUUUCCAAUUUAAUUAUUCUUAUAUCAGCACAUUUGCUAGUAUUUUUUUGCAGGCAGGCUAAUUCUAACAACAUCUGGGUGCCACGUGGGACUCUUUCAUCCCAAUGGGAGCAGAGUUUGCACUGGACUUCUAGGAGCUGCCUCUUCCCAGGCUCUGCGCAAGGAGGUUGGAAGCCCAGCAAGAGACAUCACAGAUAAACACUGUGGCUCACAAGAUGUUUAAAAAUGCCUUCUUUAAAACCACUGGUCAUCAAUGACAUUUGCUGCACUUUGUCUCUUCACUUCACACUACUGUAGUUUUUUCUGAAGUUUGGCUUUGAUUAUGCCUCUGUAGAAAGAGAAGUGAACUUUUGUUACAGAGUCAUUACAGACAAUUUACAGUACCGUAUGAAAACGUAUUUUUGACACAAUUCAUCAAGUUUAACACCAUAUUAAUUUAGCAGUCUAGCAAAUUACAAGUAAUUUGAUCUUUAGUAUUGAUUAGUAGCUGACAUUCUGUCUAAACUUAAUCCUCAGGAUGAUAUAGUCUCAGCUGGGGACUUGCUUGGAAUUUGAGCAUUAUUUGGAGCUAAAUAAAAGCAAAAAAUGAGGAACUAAUACA